rnacentral:rRNA from 1 species
UACGGAGGAUCCAAGCGUUAUCCGGAAUCAUUGGGUUUAAAGGGUCCGUAGGCGGUUUUAUAAGUCAGUGGUGAAAUCUGGUCGCUCAACGAUCAAACGGCCAUUGAUACUGUAGAACUUGAAUUACUUGGAAGUAACUAGAAUAUGUAGUGUAGCGGUGAAAUGCUUAGAGAUUACAUGGAAUACCAAUUGCGAAGGCAGGUUACUACAAGUACAUUGACGCUGACGGACGAAAGCGUGGGGAGCGAACAGG